rnacentral:rRNA from 1 species
AUUGAACGCUGGUGGCAGGCCUAACACAUGCAAGUCGAGCGGAUGAAGGGAGCUUGCUCCUGGAUUCAGCGGCGGACGGGUGAGUAAUGCCUAGGAAUCUGCCUGGUAGUGGGGGAUAACGUCCGGAAACGGGCGCUAAUACCGCAUACGUCCUGAGGGAGAAAGUGGGGGAUCUUCGGACCUCACGCUAUCAGAUGAGCCUAGGUCGGAUUAGCUAGUUGGUGGGGUAAAGGCCUACCAAGGCGACGAUCCGUAACUGGUCUGAGAGGAUGAUCAGUCACACUGGAACUGAGACACGGUCCAGACUCCUACGGGAGGCAGCAGUGGGGAAUAUUGGACAAUGGGCGAAAGCCUGAUCCAGCCAUGCCGCGUGUGUGAAGAAGGUCUUCGGAUUGUAAAGCACUUUAAGUUGGGAGGAAGGGCAGUAAGUUAAUACCUUGCUGUUUUGACGUGACCAACAGAAUAAGCACCGGCUAACUUCG